ensembl:lncRNA
AGCCUCCAAAGGAAUUCAAAGUUUGGAAGUCCAACUAUGUAUCUCCUCCGGAGACCUACUCUGCUGAGAAGAAACCUCCGCCUCCAGAGCUGGACAUGGCGAUAAAAUGGUCUAACAUAUACGAGGACAAUGGUGACGAUGCCCCACCGAGUGCUAAGAAAGCUAGGCUUCUGCCCGAAGGGGAGGAGACCGUGGAGUCAGAUGAUGAAAAAGACGAGCAUACUUCUAAAAAGCGCAAAAUAGAACCAGGAGAACCAACAAAGAAGAAAAAAUAAAUAGAAAACAAAUGACAAGAAUUUUUGGACUGCGAAACUUGUUGAAAUGGUCCUUUUCGACAGAUUAAGUUGAUAUUGUAAAUUAUUAUGAAACAACAUCUUCAUGAAAGUUCAUGUUAAUUAACUAGCCCUGCUCUCCUGGGUCGUUUCCGCUCUGGCUCCUUCUCUUCCAGCCGCCCUCAGAAGCCAGGUCUGUUCCUUGUUCUCCCUCUCUGCCCUGCUUCUUGACAUGUCAGCCAAGCUCACGGCCUCCAGUCAGGAACACGGAGGGUUCGCUGGGCUGUAGCUUUUCCAGAAUGCUCCUGUCAGGCCCUUGGUUUGUGUGUGUAACCAUGCGUUUCUGCUUGGGGCUCAGAGUCCCCUCACCGCCUCCGUGCCCAAAACCAAACCAACACAUGGAGCCAGAAGCCGCACCACCUCCCUGUGACAUUUCUGGUUGAUGGCAUCGCCGUGAACCGAGAACCUUCCCUCUGCCUGAAUUCCCAUCGCACGGGUUUGGUCAGUAAGUCCCCCGGGUUCCCUGCCUUCUUUCUGAUGCGCUUGUUAAUCCAGCUCUAACGAAUCAUCUCCGGCUCCCCGGAUACGCUAUUUGGUUCCAUCCCUCUGCGCCUUCGCUUAUCCCAUCUGCGCAGCCUGGCCUGGCCCUAACCUGUCUGCUUAGUGAACCUCUUCCCUCCAAGGAGUGGUUCAAGGUGUCCCUUCUUUAUGCACCCGUCCUGGGCAUCUCGGAACCAGAAGCUGCACCUGUGCGUGGCUUUUCCCAUGCUCCCUCCCUCCCUCCCUUUUCAUUUUGGCAAAGUGAGAGAGCGCCAAGCCACAGACUUUGCCUAAAAUGUCUUUGGCAUUUCUCUAACGUCUGGCCUGCGUUUGUGGUCACAGCAUGAGGGUGAGGAAGGGCCUCUGCACCUUUCCUGUCUUUUCCAGGCUCAUAGGCAAGCCCAGGAAAUGGGAGGUUUGCAGGCUGGAUUUGAAAAGUCAUUUCCUGUGUGUCUGUAAUAUUUUGGUUCCAGGGUCUGGAACUCCUGUUCCUUUCCCCGUGUUUAGCAUUUUCUAAAAAAGGAGAAGAAACAGGAUUUGGUGCCUAUCAUUGAAGUAAAAGUGCAGCUCUAUUCCUGACAUAAUUACCUGUCUCUGAUUCUAAAUGGACCAAAAUGUAGCAAGCUUCCUCAGCUGACUGCGGGGUUUGAAUUAACAUUUUAAAUUUAGAUUCCUGAGAAAAACUGCAGUGAAAUAACAAAACAAUCACUUCCAACUAAAGAGGCCACUUGUGGGCCAGCAAAAGCUACAAGCAAAAGCCAACUCAGGAAUAGCUCACGGCACCAGGGGGAUUUUAAGGCCCUGUUGCUAGUUUUCGCUGCUUUUCAAUCUGCAGGAACAGACACUGCCAUUGGAAGCUUCCUCUCUUCUUUUUACCAUGUUCCAGCUUCGGGCCUCCCCUGCAGUCCUCUCCUUAGCUAGGAAAUGUGGCCUGGACAGCCUCAGCAGUAAAAUUUCUUCUGUAACAGCUGGAAUCCACACGUCAAGUCUGUAAGGCAUAAACACUUCUGUUGUUUUUUUCUUAGCAUUUAGACUUAAUUACUGGAGCCCCAGUCCCCCUGCCCCUGCAUCCCUCCGUACCACACUAAUGAGGGCAGUGAGCUGAGCCACCCGGGCAAAAAGCGGGGUCUCUAAAGCCCGUUCCUGAGGCUAACAGACGAGAGGGUUCAUCUCCAGCCUGCUCUGUAGCCGGGAAGAAAUGAGCCCCCCCAUUUGCAGGUUGCUUUGCAUCCUCUCUACGCCAAGCUGCCACCUCGGAGAGGGUCUUCCUUUGGGGAUGCCAGGCCGUCUGGAGCCCUGAGGUGACUUAAUUCUGAACGGAAGCACUUGAAAGUCACCACUGCAACACGAGGGCCCUGAGCCUUCCUGCUUUGGCUUGGGAAGAAGAUUUCGAUGCUUUUUAAAAUAAGAUUGCCAGGCAGUAAAUAGCUUCUGGCGCCAACCUGGAGAUGUUGACUUCAAACCUUAGACAGUAAGUGGCUUCUUUUUAGAUAAUUUGACCAGGGCUCUGUGUAUUUUUAAGCUACUUGGAAGUUCAUCCAGUCACUCUGGCUAAUUAUGAGCUGCUUAGGUUUUCCUCUUCUUUUUCUACUUUUCUUUCCACUGUAACAGUAGCAAGGCUAUCUUAUGUCACUCUGGCUAAGUAGCUAAACCGAGAGUUCCUAAUUUAAUCUUUCCCUGGAGGGUCUUUACAUUUUAUUGAGAGAUGGAUUGAUCGGUUGAUUGAUGGAUGGAUUGAUUCCCGUGGCCCCUGUUAUGCGCAGGCACAAGCUCUGGUGCUGCCUGGAGGGUUUUUUUAAGAUCACAUAGCCUAGGUAAUUUUUUUUUUUUAAGCCCAGGAGAUUAGUCGAAGGAGGAUUAGAUUUUCUUAGCAUUUACCAUGAUUUCAACUAAGUUUCCCAAUAGCGGUUUGUGAAAAUGUGAAAAACGACGGAGAACAAAUUUUCAGUUACCUCAUCUAAGUGCCAAAAGUAAGACCAAGAGCCCCUGUGUUGAGGAAGCACAAAAAACAAAGGUUUUUUGGAGUUCUCAUUGUGGCUCAGCAGGUUCUCGAGCAGACUAAUACCCAUGAGCACAGGGUUCCAUUCCUGGCCUUGCUCGGUGGGUUAAGGAUCAGGCACUGCUGUGAGCUGUGGUGUAGGUGGCAGACGUGGCUCGGAUCCCGAGUUGCUGUGGCUCUGGUGUAGGCCGGCGGCUACAGCUCUGAUUCCCACAUGCCGCCACAGGUGUGGCCCUAAAAAGCAAAAAAAUAUAUUUUUUAAACUUUUUUUUUUUUAACUACAAAUACAUUUAACCUUUUCAAGGACAGGAACAAUGUUGACACCGAAAAAA